UAACCAUGGUGUGGGCAGGUGAGAAGUAAGUCCUUAAACCGGUCCCAACAUUUAAAGAAGGUCUCAUUAUUUUUCUGGGAGACGUUCAUUAUUUCCCGUCUAAGAGC